UACGGAAGGCAGCAGUGGGGAAUAUUGGACAAUGGGCGGAAGCCUGAUCCAGCCAUGCCGCGUGUGUGAAGAAGGCCUUUUGGUUGUAAAGCACUUUAAGCGAGGAGGAGGCUACUAGUACUAAUACUACUGGAUAGUGGACGUUACUCGCAGAAUAAGCACCGGCUAACUCUGUGCCAGCAGCCGCGGUAAUACAGAGGGUGCGAGCGUUAAUCGGAUUUACUGGGCGUAAAGCGUGCGUAGGCGGCUGAUUAAGUCGGAUGUGAAAUCCCUGAGCUUAACUUAGGAAUUGCAUUCGAUACUGGUCAGCUAGAGUAUGGGAGAGGAUGGUAGAAUUCCAGGUGUAGCGGUGAAAUGCGUAGAGAUCUGGAGGAAUACCGAUGGCGAAGGCAGCCAUCUGGGCCUAAUACUGACGCUGAGUCGAAAAGCAUGGGGAGCAAACAGGAUUAGAAUAACC
rnacentral:rRNA from 1 species